rnacentral:rRNA from 1 species
AGCAGCCGCGGUAAUUCCAGCUCCAAUAGCGUAUAUUAAAGUUGUUGCAGUUAAAAAGCUCGUAGUUGAAUUUCGAGAUCAAUUUGUUGGUCGUGCCUCGGUACGUACUGGCAAUUUUGAUUUCUCCCUUCUGAAGAACCAUGAUGUCAUUAAUUUGGUGUCAUGGGGAAUCAGGACCGUUACUUUGAAAAAUUAGAGUGUUUAAAGCAGGCUCGCGCUUGAAUACAUUAGCAUGGAAUAAUGAAAUAGGACGUUUGAUUCUAUUUUGUUGGUUUCUAGGAUCGACGUAAUGAUUAAUAGGGAUAGUUGGGGGCAUUAGUAUUCAAUUGUCAGAGGUGAAAUUCUUGGAUUUAUUGAAGACUAACUACUGCGAAAGCAUUUGCCAAGGAUGUUUUCAUUAAUCAAGAACGAAAGUUAGGGGAUCGAAGACGAUCAGAUACCGUCGUAGUC